UACGAAGGUGGCAAGCGUUGUUCGGAAUCACUGGGCUUAAAGGGCGCGUAGGCGGAUCAGUAAGUGUCUUGUGAAAUCCCUCGGCUUAACCGAGGAAUUGCUCGGCAAACUACUGAUCUUGAGGCAAGUAGGGGAGUGUGGAACUCUUGGUGGAGCGGUGGAAUGCGUAGAUAUCAAGAGGAACGCCGAAGGUGAAGACAGCACUCUGGACUUGUACUGACGCUGAGGCGCGAAAGCGUGGGGAGCAAACAGG
rnacentral:rRNA from 1 species